rnacentral:RNase_MRP_RNA from 15 species
UCUGAGGCCUUGGAAUUUGGAAAGUCCCCGGGCCCCAAGUUCGGAGACCCAGACUCAGGCUGGGAAAAGUCGCGAUUUU